GAUGAACGCUGGCGGCGUGCUUAACACAUGCAAGUCGAACGAAGCACCUUGAUCUGAUUCUUCGGAUGAAGAUCCUGGUGACUGAGUGGCGGACGGGUGAGUAACGCGUGGGUAACCUGCCUCAUACCGGGGGAUAACAGUUAGAAAUGACUGCUAAUACCGCAUAAGACCACAGUACCGCAUGGUACAGGGGUAAAAACUCCGGUGGUAUGAGAUGGACCCGCGUAUGAUUAGGUAGUUGGUGGGGUAACGGCCUACCAAGCCGACGAACAGUAGCCGACCUGAGAGGGUGACCGGCCACAUUGGGACUGAGACACGGCCCAAACUCAUACGGGAGGCAGCAGUGGGGAAUAUUGCACAAUGGGGGAAACCCUGAUGCAGCGACGCCGCGUGAGCGAUGAAGUAUUUCGGUAUGUAAAGCUCUAUCAGCAGGGAAGAAAAUGACGGUACCUGACUAAGAAGCACCGGCUAAAUACGUGCCAGCCGCCGCCGUAAA
rnacentral:rRNA from 1 species